AUUGAACGCUGGCGGUAUGCUUAAGACAUGCAAGUCGAACGGUAACAGACCUUCGGGUGCUGACGAGUGGCGGACGGGUGAGUAACACGUGGGAAUCUACCUUGUAGUGGGGGAUAAGCCAGGGAAACUUGGACUAAUACCGCAUACGCCCUAAGGGGGAAAGGAGCAAUUCGCUAUAAGAUGAGCCCGCGUCUGAUUAGCUAGUUGGUGAGGUAAAGGCUCGCCAAGGCGACGAUCAGUAGCUGGUCUGAGAGGAUGACCAGCCACAUUGGGACUGAGACACGGCCCAGACUCCUACGGGAGGCAGCAGUCGGGAAUAUUGGACAAUGGGGGCAACCCUGAUCCAGCAAUACCGCGUGUGUGAAGAAGGCCUGCGGGUUGUAAAGCACUUUUAGUAGGGAAGAUAAUGACGUUACCUACAGAAAAGCACCGGCUAACUCCGUGCCAGCAGCCGCGGUAAGGU
rnacentral:rRNA from 1 species